CAGCCGCCGCGGUAACACGAAGGGUGCAAGCGUUAAUCGGAAUUACUGGGCGUAAAGCGUGCGUAGGCGGUUUGUUAAGUCUGUUGUGAAAUCCCCGGGCUCAACCUGGGAAUGGCAAUGGAUACUGGCAAGCUAGAGUGUGUCAGAGGAUGGUGGAAUUCCCGGUGUAGCGGUGAAAUGCGUAGAGAUCUGGAGGAAUACCGGUGGCGAAGGCGGCCCCCUGGACAAAGACUGACGCUCAGGUGCGAAAGCGUGGGGAGCAAACAGGAUUAGAUACCCGCGUAGUCCCUGUCUCUUAUAC
rnacentral:rRNA from 1 species